rnacentral:tRNA from 1 species
GGAGAGGUGGCCGAGUGGUCGAAGGCAGCCGCCUGCUAAGCGGUUGUCCCGAGAAAUUGGGACCCAGGGUUCAAAUCCCUGCCUCUCCGCCA